rnacentral:lncRNA from 1 species
UUAUGCAAAGCUAGCAAGUCCACGGGCAUGAUCCAAUCUCCAACCCGAAUAGGGCAACGGGGGCAAAACUCCCGAAUGUCCAAAGAAUGAUUGGGUACAACAACUCGUCCCGGAUGCAACAAUGAUACAAGUGGGAUGCCAUGCAACUCGGCAAACAGCCAGUCUAUGAAUGAAUGCGAUGCACCGGUAUCAAAUAAAGCUCUAACUCGAAUACCAUAAAGUAAAAUGAUACCUGCGACCACAUUCUCGGCUGCCGCCGCUUCCUCAGUCUGGGCCGCGUACAUGCGUCCGCUCGGGGUCUGUCGUGACCCCUCCGCCUGCCGCUGAACUGGCGGCCGUCCUGCCUAGUGAUGCGCAGAAGACGUCCCCUGGCUGGGGCCUGGCGAUGCUGGUGCAGAUGCCGAAGAUGGCGCUGGCGCUGAACCUCUCGGGCAGUCCGACUGGAAGUGGCCCUCCUAGCCACACAAGAAACACCUGCCCCGGCUGUGUGAACACUGUCGCGGGUAGUGGGGACCACCACAGAUCAUGCAGCGUGGAGCUGGCAACGAUCGGGUCCUCCUCGCUGAGUAGACGAGGAGCCACGCCCUCGCGACUGGCUCCGGCUCCUGGGGUGCCUCGGCGGCCUCCGUGAGUGUGUCUGACUCGCACCCUCAGCCGCGGGCCUCUUUCCCUUCCCUUUCUCUGAGCUCUCGCGACGCUCCUGCAAAUCCGCCGCUCCUGCCUCCACUAUCAAUGCUCGAUCCACAACCUCCCGGUAGGUCUGGAGGUUGGAGGACUGUACCAACCGAAAGAUAGAAGGCCGCAAUCCGCGCUCAAAAAUACGGGCCUUGUCCUCAUCAUCCCUCACAAGCAAACGGUACACAGUGAAGUAGCCGGGAGAACUCCCUCUCGUACUAGGCCACUGUCCGCUCGCCCUAGCGCAAGCUGCGUAAGUCCUGCUCUAUCUUCCUCUUAACGCUGGUCGGGAAGUAGUGCGCCAGAAGCAUCUCCUUGAACCUCGCCCAAGAGAUCGCUGCCAAAUCUGUGUUGGGGUUGUCCAGGAUAUCCAACCACCAACGGUAGGCCUCGUCGUCCAAGAAGUGUGUGGCGAGCCACACUCUGUCCCGCUCCUCAACAAAGG